rnacentral:sRNA from 1 species
GUCGUGAGAUGUUGGGUUAAGUCCCGCAACGAGCGCAACCCUCGUUCCAUGUUGCCAGCGGGUUAUGCCGGGGACUCAUGGGAGACUGCCGGGGUCAACUCGGAGGAAGGUGGGGAUGACGUCAAGUCAUCAUGCCCCUUAUGUCCAGGGCUUCACGCAUGCUACAAUGGCCGGUACAAAGGGCUGCGAUACCGCGAGGUGGAGCGAAUCCCAAAAAGCCGGUCUCAGUUCGGAUCGGGGUCUGCAACUCGACCCCGUGAAGUCGGAGUCGCUAGUAAUCGCAGAUCAGCAACGCUGCGGUGAAUACGUUCCCGGGCCUUGUACACACCGCCCGUCACGUCACGAAAGUCGGCAACACCCGAAGCCGGUGGCCUAACCCCUUGUGGGAGGGAGCCGUCGAAGGUGGGGCUGGCGAUUGGGACGAAGUCGUAACAAGGUAGCCGUACCGGAAGGUGCGGCUGGAUCACCUCCUUUCUAAGGAGCACCUGCGCCCGAAGGGGUGCCAGGAGCCCGUGCGCCACGGUUGGUGGUGUGGGGUUGCUCGAUGGCGGAGACACUGGCUAGUUUCGUCCGGCAACGGCCGGGCCUUCCUCGUACUGCUUCCCGGGUUUGCCUGGGGGGUGUGGAUCGGUGGGUCUGGUGCGGCUGGGUGGGGCGUCGGACAUCCUGUUGGGUCCUGAGGGAACGAGCCCUGGUGGGGUCGUUUCUCGGGUGGUCCAGUCACGCUCUGGGUUGCCAUACGGUGCCGGUGUCUUGCGGUGUCGGUGUUGGUGGUGGCCGGUGGGGUGGUGGGUUGGCCGUUGUUUGAGAAUUGCACAGUGGACGCGAGCAUCUUUUUUGAUGAUCUUUGUGGUCAAGUUGCCGAGGGCGGACGGUGAAUGCCUUGGCACCAGGAGCCGAUGAAGGACGUGGGAGGCCGCGAUAGGCCUGGGGGAGCUGUCAACCUAGCUGUGAUCCCAGGGUGU